CUCCCCACUAGUAUGGCCCUGCUUUGACUGGCAUGAAAGGGUCAAGCCUUUGUUGUAGAUCAUUGCCACAAGUACUGCACGAAGCCUGAUUCCAAUUUGCUGCAACCUAAAGAACCAAUGCCUCUGUGUGAGGCACUCUACAAGUUUUCCAAACAAAAAGGCUGAAGCUAAAAGAUAUCCCUGAUUUUUGAACUUUCCUCGCCCAUUAAGACAUUGAACAAAUGCAUCUAUAAGGUAUGGGCCAACAUAAGAAGCUGAUGUGUAUAACACAGCUAGUAAAGCUGUCCACAGAAUUUCCUUCCAAGCAGAGAAGAACAAGGCCUUCACGAGUUUAAACGUGGUAACUCCGCUAGCAGCCCCACUAUCCAACUCAACUUUAUUUCUGAAAACCGGAAAUG
rnacentral:misc_RNA from 1 species